rnacentral:rRNA from 1 species
GGACCCGCACAAGUAGUGGAGCAUGUGGUUUAAUUCGAAGAUACGCGCAGAACCUUACCAACACUUGACAUGUUCGUCGCGACUCUAAGAGAUUAGAGUUUUCGGUUCGGCCGGACGAAACACAGGUGCUGCAUGGCUGUCGUCAGCUCGUGUCGUGAGAUGUUGGGUUAAGUCCCGCAACGAGCGCAACCCUCACUUUUAGUUGCCAUCAUUAAGUUGGGCACUCUGAAAGAACUGCCAGUGAUAAGCUGGAGGAAGGUGGGGAUGACGUCAAGUCCUCAUGGCCCUUACGUGUUGGGCUACACACGUGCUACAAUGGUAUCUACAAAAGGAAGCAAGACGGCGACGUUUAGCAAAUCCUUAAAAAAUACCUCAGUUCGGAUUGCACUCUGCAACUCGAGUGCAUGAAGCUGGAAUUACUAGUAAUCGU